rnacentral:rRNA from 1 species
AGUGAACGCUGGCGGUAGGCCUAACACAUGCAAGUCGAACGGCAGCACAGUAAGAGCUUGCUCUUACGGGUGGCGAGUGGCGGACGGGUGAGGAAUACAUCGGAAUCUACUUUUUCGUGGGGGAUAACGUAGGGAAACUUACGCUAAUACCGCAUACGACCUACGGGUGAAAGCAGGGGAUCUUCGGACCUUGCGCGAUUGAAUGAGCCGAUGUCGGAUUAGCUAGUUGGCGGGGUAAAGGCCCACCAAGGCGACGAUCCGUAGCUGGUCUGAGAGGAUGAUCAGCCACACUGGAACUGAGACACGGUCCAGACUCCUACGGGAGGCAGCAGUGGGGAAUAUUGGACAAUGGGCGCAAGCCUGAUCCAGCCAUACCGCGUGGGUGAAGAAGGCCUUCGGGUUGUAAAGCCCUUUUGUUGGGAAAGAAAAGCAGCAGGUUAAUAUCCCGCUGUUCUGACGGUGCCCAAAGAAUAAGCACCGGCUAACUUCGUG